rnacentral:rRNA from 1 species
AGAGUUUGAUCCUGGCUCAGGACGAACGCUGGCGGCGUGCUUAACACAUGCAAGUCGAGCGGAAAGGCCCUUCGGGGUACUCGAGCGGCGAACGGGUGAGUAACACGUGAGCAACCUGCCCUCAGCUCUGGGAUAGCUCCGGGAAACCGGAAUUAAUACCGGAUAUGAUCACGGCCGACAUCGGCCAUGAUGGAAAGGAU